UUUUUUAUUUUUUAUUUUUUUUUAAAUUUUUAUUUAUUUAUGAUAGUCACAGAAGGAGAGAGAGAGAGACAUAGGCAGAGGGAGAAGCAGGCUCCAUGCAGGGAGCCUGACAUGGGACUGGAUCCCCUGUCUCCAGGAUCAGGCUCUGGGCCAAAGGUGGCGCUACACCACUGAGCCACCAGGGCUGCCCUAAAAAUAAUUUUAAUAUAACACUCUAAUGUUAAUAUAAAGGAGAAAUAAAAUUAAUUAACAUAAACAAUAUUACUUCAAUUUUUAACAAUGCUUGGCUGUGAUUACAUUAGAAGCAAAAACUUUACAAAUAUGGGAUAGCAGAGACAGCACUGGCCUCCCCCAUCCUACACCCAGCUUUAUCUGGGUAAUUCCUUUUCAUUCCAGUCUCUGCUUAGAAGUAAGCCUCCUCUGAUACACCAAUAAGGUGUGGCAACCCUCCAGAGCAUCCUGAAAUUUCCUCUGUUAUAGCACACACAUCAUACUACAUUGCAAUUUUUUCUUUACCUCUCUGGUCACUCCCUGGACAAUGAAGCUUUUUUUUAAAGAUGUUUUAUUUAUUUAUUCAUGACAGAGAGAGAGACAGAGAGAGACAGAGACAGAGACAGAGACACAGGCAGAGGGAGAGGGAGAGGGAGAGAAGCAGGCUCUAUGCAGGGAGCCUGAUGUAGGACUCGAUCCUGGGUCUCCAGGAUCACACCCCGGGCUGAAGGCGGUGCCAAACCGCUGGGCCACUGGGGCUGCCCAAAAUUGAGUUUUUUGAGAGCAUAGACUGUUUGUGGUCACUGUUACAGGACGAAAUGGUUGCCACAGAAUUUGCAUUCAUAAUGGCAUGUUAAAGGGAAAGGAAGUUGGAGAGCAUCAAAAACUAACUUAUUAAAUUGUUUUGUACUUCUACUGAAGGACAUUUUGGGGAAGGAAAUAAUGAAGUCGGGAGUAUUACAGUCAGCUAUUGUUUUUUUAGAAACAUAUUAUCUUGGAAAUGUGCAUAAAUGUCAAAAAUACAAAAUGUAUUUUGAAAAAAUUUUUAUUUUGAAAUAAAAUUAAAAACCUGACAAUACAUCGGUCACGUUACUAAGGUCAACAUCAACAAUGAUAAGUCAUGUUGAUAAUAUGUACUCUUUGAUGUGAUAUGAUGAAAAUGGCACUGCACCUCUGUGGUUUUCCUCCCCCAACCCAUAAUUCCAGUCUACACAAAAGAAAGACAUCAGACAGGGGUGCCUGCGUGGCUCAGUUGGUUCAUCAUCUGCUUUUGUCUCAGGUCAUGGUCCCCGGGUUCUGGGAUCAGGAACGUGUCUGGCUCCCUGCUCAGUGGGAAGCCUGCUUCUGCCUCUCCCCCUGCUUGUACUCUGCCCCCCCCUGCUUAUACUCUCUCGAGCUCUCUCUCAAAUAAAUAAAUAAAAUCUUAAAAAAAAAAAAAAAGACAUCAGACAAAUCUCAAGUGAGGAACAUUUUACAAAAUAUCUGAUAGGUACUCCUCAAAAUUGUCAGCAUCUCAAAAACAAGAAAAACAGUCUGAGGAACUGUCAUCACCAAGAAGUGCUUUUAAAGAGAUACAAUGACUAUAUGUAAUAUGAUGUCCCAGAUGAGAUUCUGAAACAGAAAAAGGUAACACCUAAGGCAAUCUGAAUGAAAUAUGGACUUUUGUUAAUAGUAAUGUUUCAGUAUUUCAUUAAUCAUAAUAAAUGUACCAUGCUAAUAUAAGAGGUUAAUAAUUGGGAAACUGGGUGCAGGGUAUAUGGGAACCCUCUGUACAAGCUCUGCAAUUUUUCUGUGAAUCAAAAACUGUUCUAAAACAAAAAGGUUAUUUUUUAUGGGAAAAACAUUUAAAUAGACGCUGCAUCCAAAAAUAAUUAUAUAAAUGCAAUAAACCCAUGAAAAUAUUCUUAACAUCUUCAGUUAUAAGGCAAAUGCAAAUGAAGACAUGAUAUAAUGCCACUACAGACACGUCAGAAUGCUUAAAAUGUAAUAGGGUGGGAAAGUCAAGUGUGUGGACAAAGAGAAACUGAAAUUUUCAAACAUUGAUUUCCCAUAAUCAAUGGGAAAUCAUACAAAUGGGAAUCACACAAAAUGAUACAGUUGCUCUAAAAAACAAAGUGGCAACUUCUCACACAUUAAACAUACACUUUCCACAGAUUCAGCAAUUCCACUCUUAGGUUAAUUAACCAAGAAUAAUAAAAUAUAUGCUCACUCACAUAUACAUACAUACAACGUAAAAUGAUAUCGUCAACCACAAGGACAACAAAAAUAAAAAAAGCAUUGUCACUUGGAAAAUCAAGAAAACCCUGAAAUAGUGAUGCCUGGGUGGCUUAGUUGGUUAAGUCGUUGCCUUUGACUCAGUCAUGAUCUCGGGGUCCUGGGAUUGAGCCCUGCAAAAAGCUCUCUGCCCAGUAAGGAGUCUGCUUCUCUGACUCCUUCUCCUUCUCCCUCUCCCUCUCCCUCUGCUCAUGUUUGCAUGAAUAAAUAAAAAUCUUUAAGAAGAAAGAAAGAAAGAAACCCUGAAAUAACCACAGGUUUAUGUUCUUAGGCUACAUAUGCUAAAAUAUUUAGGGGUAAAGUGUCACAAGGUCUACAACUUAUUCUCACAUGGUUUGGCAAAAAGAAAAAAGGAAGGAAUAAUGAAAGGAAGAAAGGAAAGGAGAGAGGAAGAGACGAGAGAGGACAGCAACUUUGGCAAAAUUGUUAAAAAGUGGUGAAUUAAGAUGAAGAAAUGAAUGAGUCACAUUAUUCUUAUAACUUUCCUAUACAUUUGAAAUUUGCAGAAUAGAAAGUUGUGGGAAAAAGCCAGAUCAGUAAUAGCACUGGCAAGAUGACAGGAAUUUUUUUUUAUUUUUUUUAUUUUUUUAUUUAUGAUAGUCACACACAGAGAGAGAGAGAGAGAGGCAGACACAUAGGUAGAGAAGCAGGCUCCAUGCACCGGGAGCCCGACGUGGGAUUCGAUCCCAGGUCUCCAGGAUCGCGCCCUG
rnacentral:lncRNA from 1 species